rnacentral:rRNA from 1 species
GACGAACGCUGGCGGCGUGCUUAACACAUGCAAGUCGAGCGGUAAGGCCCUUUCGGGGGUACACGAGCGGCGAACGGGUGAGUAACACGUGGGUGACCUGCCCUCAGCUCUGGGAUAAGCCUGGGAAACCGGGUCUAAUACCGGAUAUGACUCCAUGACGCAUGUUGUGGGGUGGAAAGCCUUGUGCGGCUGAGGAUGGGCCCGCGGCCUAUCAGCUUGUUGGUGGGGUGANGGCCUACCAAGGCGACGACGGGUAGCCGGCCUGAGAGGGCGACCGGCCACACUGGGACUGAGACACGGCCCAGACUCCUACGGGAGGCAGCAGUGGGGAAUCUUGCGCAAUGGGCGAAAGCCUGACGCAGCGACGCCGCGUGAGGGAUGACGGCCUCGGUGU